rnacentral:rRNA from 1 species
GACGAACGCUGGCGGCGUGCUUAACACAUGCAAGUCGAACGGUGACGGAGAGCUUGCUCUCCUGAUCAGUGGCGAACGGGUGAGUAACACGUGGGCAACCUGCCCCAGACUUCGGGAUAACGCUUCGAAAGAGGUGCUAAUACCGAAUACGAACGCCGUGGGCAUCCACGGUGUUGGAAAGUUUUUCGGUCUGGGAUGGGCCCGCGGCCUAUCAGCUUGUUGGUGAGGUAAUGGCUCACCAAGGCGACGACGGGUAGCCGGCCUGAGAGGGCGAACGGCCACACUGGGACUGGGACGCGGCCCAGACUCCUAAGGGAGGCAGCGGUGGGGAAUAUUGCGCAAUGGGCGAAAGCCUGACGCAGCAACGCCGCGUGGGGGAUGAAGGCCUUCGGGUUGGAAGCCUCUUUCAGCAGGGAAGAAGCGAAAGUGACGGUACCUGCAGAAGAAGCACCAGCUAACUACGUGCCAGCAGCCGCCGUAA